UACGGAGGGUGCAAGCGUUAUCCGGAUUUAUUGGGUUUAAAGGGUCCGUAGGCGGAUCUGUAAGUCAGUGGUGAAAUCUCACAGCUUAACUGUGAAACUGCCAUUGAUACUGCAGGUCUUGAGUGUUAUUGAAGUAGCUGGAAUAAGUAGUGUAGCGGUGAAAUGCAUAGAUAUUACUUAGAACACCAAUUGCGAAGGCAGGUUACUAAGCAACAACUGACGCUGAGGAGCGAAAGCGUGGGGAGCGAACAGG
rnacentral:rRNA from 1 species